rnacentral:lncRNA from 1 species
CCCCCUCGGCUGCCUGCCGGGCUGCGCACCUGGGCGCGCGGCGCUGGAAGCCUCGCGGGUCGCCGCGCCAUGGCCUUCACCUUCGCCGCCUUCUGCUACAUGCUGGCCCUCGUGCUGUGCGCCGCGCUCAUCUUCUUCGCCAUCUGGCACGUCACAGUCCAGUUCCCCAGGCUUAGUCCUGCUUCCCUCGCCCGGCCGCGCUUUCGCUCAGAAACAGCCAGACUCACGGCACUGAUUUGCCUCCUGAGCCUUGAGAAGGGAAAUUGCAGUCGUACGGACUUCCGAG